GCCGUAGCUCAGUGGUAGAGCAUCAGUCUUGCAUGCAGAAGGUCCCAGGUACAAUCCCCAGCAUCUCCA